rnacentral:rRNA from 1 species
AAAUUGAAGAGUUUGAUCAUGGCUCAGAUUGAACGCUGGCGGCAGGCCUAACACAUGCAAGUCGAACGGUAACAGGAAGCAGCUUGCUGCUUCGCUGACGAGUGGCGGACGGGUGAGUAAUGUCUGGGAAACUGCCUGAUGGAGGGGGAUAACUACUGGAAACGGUAGCUAAUACCGCAUAAUGUCGCAAGACCAAAGAGGGGGACCUUCGGGCCUCUUGCCAUCGGAUGUGCCCAGAUGGGAUUAGCUUGUUGGUGGGGUAACGGCUCACCAAGGCGACGAUCCCUAGCUGGUCUGAGAGGAUGACCAGCCACACUGGAACUGAGACACGGUCCAGACUCCUACGGGAGGCAGCAGUGGGGAAUAUUGCACAAUGGGCGCAAGCCUGAUGCAGCCAUGCCGCGUGUAUGAAGAAGGCCUUCGGGUUGUAAAGUACUUUCAGCGGGGAGGAAGGGAGUAAAGUUAAUACCUUUGCUCAUUGACGUUACCCGCAGAAGAAGCACCGGCUAACUCCGUGCCAGCAGCCGCGGUAAUACGGAGGGUGCAAGCGUUAAUCGGAAUUACUGGGCGUAAAGCGCACGCAGGCGGUUUGUUAAGUCAGAUGUGAAAUCCCCGGGCUCAACCUGGGAACUGCAUCUGAUACUGGCAAGCUUGAGUCUCGUAGAGGGGGGUAGAAUUCCAGGUGUAGCGGUGAAAUGCGUAGAGAUCUGGAGGAAUACCGGUGGCGAAGGCGGCCCCCUGGACGAAGACUGACGCUCAGGUGCGAAAGCGUGGGGAGCAAACAGGAUUAGAUACCCUGGUAGUCCACGCCGUAAACGAUGUCGACUUGGAGGUUGUGCCCUUGAGGCGUGGCUUCCGGAGCUAACGCGUUAAGUCGACCGCCUGGGGAGUACGGCCGCAAGGUUAAAACUCAAAUGAAUUGACGGGGGCCCGCACAAGCGGUGGAGCAUGUGGUUUAAUUCGAUGCAACGCGAAGAACCUUACCUGGUCUUGACAUCCACAGAACUUUCCAGAGAUGGAUUGGUGCCUUCGGGAACUGUGAGACAGGUGCUGCAUGGCUGUCGUCAGCUCGUGUUGUGAAAUGUUGGGUUAAGUCCCGCAACGAGCGCAACCCUUAUCCUUUGUUGCCAGCGGUCCGGCCGGGAACUCAAAGGAGACUGCCAGUGAUAAACUGGAGGAAGGUGGGGAUGACGUCAAGUCAUCAUGGCCCUUACGACCAGGGCUACACACGUGCUACAAUGGCGCAUACAAAGAGAAGCGACCUCGCGAGAGCAAGCGGACCUCAUAAAGUGCGUCGUAGUCCGGAUUGGAGUCUGCAACUCGACUCCAUGAAGUCGGAAUCGCUAGUAAUCGUGGAUCAGAAUGCCACGGUGAAUACGUUCCCGGGCCUUGUACACACCGCCCGUCACACCAUGGGAGUGGGUUGCAAAAGAAGUAGGUAGCUUAACCUUCGGGAGGGCGCUUACCACUUUGUGAUUCAUGACUGGGGUGAAGUCGUAACAAGGUAACCGUAGGGGAACCUGCGGUUGGAUCACCUCCUUACCUUAAAGAA